GCCUGCGCACUCCCCAGUUGAAGUUGUCCAUACUCUCUCCCUGAAAUCACACCACAGUCGGCUUUUCACGCCCCAGCCCUCUGGCACUCCUGCCAUCACACGGGUCUCACUGUAUAGCCUUGGAUGGCCUGGAACUCACUUUUGUAGAUCAGACUGGCCUCGAACUCACAGAGAUCCACCUGUCUCUUUCUCUCUCCCAAGUGCUGAGAUUAAAGGCAUGCACCACCACACCCAGCAGGUAAUGUAUAUAUUUUUAAAAGUUGAUUUUGGUAAACCCUAGAAAAUUAUUGUGUUUUCAAAAAUCUGUCUAAAAAAGGAGACUAUUAAUAUUAAAAUAACUUUAAAAUUAGUGUACACUCCCUUCUCCCACCAGCCCUGUUUAGUAGAGUUUUCAGAAGGAGAAACAAGUUUGCUCGAAGCACAUUCCAGAAUUCCUUGGCUAUUAAGUAGAAGAGCAUUAGGUAAACAUCCCAGACUGUCUGCCACAGCAGAUUCCACAGAUAAAAUGCAGAGUUAAAGGCUUGUGAGAGCCAGACAACAUUUUGGCGGGCCAUGCACUACGCUGAAGCUGCAUCCUGGCUUUUGCUUAAGGCUCAGCUUUCCAAUCAUCCCAAGCUGGGAAGUGGUUAAAUUUCUUGCCUUUGCAUCAAAGACUUCCUGCUGGCUUACCCAUUCUGACUUACUGAGAACAGGCCUAGCUGGACAUGGGAGUGUUAAAGCCUGGAGUUCUACCUCAGAUCUCUACAAAGCAUCAGCUAUUAAAUAGGUCUGUUUGGCUAACAUAAGUCUUUUUUUUUUUUUCUGCAGAAAUGAAUAUGGGAUUUGGUUUUCUGUCUCAUAAAACAGGGCUGAAGGAAGGUAUCCACCCUGAUGAUGCACAAAUUGUCAUCUGAGUGAGAAUUAGCAUUCCACCUCGAGAAGCAGUCAUCUGAAACGCGGCCUGACAGUUGCUAAAGUAAAGCGAUGCUUCCGAGGAGAGGUCAGCAGACAGCGGAGAAACCCGAGAGCCGCGAGUGAGCCUUACGUGAGACAGGGUUUCUCUGCGUCGUUCUGGCUGUCCUGGAUCUCGAUCUGUAGACCAGGCUGGUCUUGAACUCAGAAAUCCCCCUGCCUCUGCCUCCCGAGUGCUGGGAUUAAAGGUGUGCAUCACCAC